rnacentral:rRNA from 1 species
UACGAAGGGAGCUAGCGUUGUUCGGAAUCACUGGGCGUAAAGCGCACGUAGGCGGCUGUGUCAGUCAGGGGUGAAAUCCCGGAGCUCAACUUCGGAACUGCCCUUGAUACAGCACGUCUUGAGUCCGGAAGAGGUGGGUGGAAUUCCUAGUGUAGAGGUGAAAUUCGUAGAUAUUAGGAAGAACACCGGUGGCGAAGGCGGCCCACUGGUCCGGUACUGACGCUGAGGUGCGAAAGCGUGGGGAGCAAACAGG